AUGUCCCCAUAUAGGGCCCCAUAUCCCCAUAUAGGAUCCCAUAUAGGACCCCAUAUAUGCCCCAUAUACGACCCCAAGACCCCAUGUCCCCAUAUAGGAUCCCAUAUAGGACCCUAUAUCCCCAUAUAGGAUCCCAUAUAUGGCCCCACGUCCCUAAAUAGGAUCCUAUAGUUCCCUAUUUACACACUAUGGGGCCCCUGGGAGGCACCCAUGGGUGUCCCCACCCAUUAAUGGGGCCCAUAAGGAACAGUGAGCACCCAAAGGUGAAUGGGCUUCUAUAGGGUGGGGGUGGGACCCAUAGAUGUGGGGUGACCCCAUAGGGAUGAAUGGGGCACUUAUGGGGUGGGGUGACCCCAUAGGGAUCAAUGGGGCACCCAUGGGUGGGGCUGGGACCCAUAGAUGUGGGGUGACCCCAUAGGGAUCAAUGGGGCACUUAUGGGGUGGGGUGACCCCAUAGGGAUCAAUGGGGCACCCAUGGGUGGGGGUGGAACCUAUAGAUGUGGGGUGACCCCAUAGGGAUCAAUGGGGCACUUAUGGGGUGGGGUGGGACCCAUAGAUGUGGGGUGACCCCAUAGGGAUCAAUGGGGCACUUAUGGGGUGGGGUGAGUCCCAUAGGGAUUAAUAGGGCACCCAUGGGUGGGGGUGGGACCCAUAGAUGUGGGGUGACCCCAUAGGGUUGAAUGGGGCACUUAUGGGGUGGGGGGGUCCUAUAGGGAUCAAUGGGGCACUUAUGGGGUGGGGUUGGGACCCAUAGAUGUGGGGUGACCCCAUAGGGAUGAAUGGGGCACUUAUGGGGUGGGCUGAGUCCCAUAAGGAUCAAUGGGGCACCCAUGGGUGGUGUAGGACCCAUAGAUGUGGGGUGACCCCAUAGGGAUUAAUGGGGCACUUAUGGGGUGGGGGGAGUCCCAUAGGGAUGAAUGGGGCACCCAUGGGUGGGGUUGGAACCCAUAGAUGUGGGGUGACCCCAUAGGGAUCAAUGGGACACUUAUGGGGUGGGGUGGGACCCAUAGAUGUGGGGUGACCCCAUAGGGAUGAAUGGGGCACUUAUGGGGUUGGGUGGGACCCAUAGAUGUGGGGUGACCCCAUAGGGAUCAAUGGGGCAAUGAGAUAAGGGAUGGCCCCAUUGAUC
rnacentral:lncRNA from 1 species